ensembl:lncRNA
GGAACCCGCCGGCGCGCACGGCGCUGGCCGCUCCCGGCCCCAGCCUGACUGACGACGGAGCAUGCCCAGUGGUCGCCGCGGCGCUCCGGGCGAGGGAUUCCACCGCUCCGGGUUUUGUUCGGGCUGGGAAGAUGGGCGCUCUGCAAUCGCCGGAGCAGGCCAGAAGACUCCUUCAUUUCCAGCCCAGGUGCUACACCUAAUGACCAAAAAUGAGAACUGUGGCAGAGUCUGGCUUUAUGCUCUUCAAAUACAUCUGUUUUAUUGACAUAUAGUGAACAUCAUUCCCUAACCUUCUCAGAGCUACAUUGUACCAGGUUUCUGCAUGCUGAAGAUCCAGUAGGAAACUUCAAAGAAGAAGUAGGGACAGUGGGACCCCUAGAUGAAAACAACCAAGGUUUUUAUCAUCACUGACUGCAAACGUGUGCUGUAAUAUGAUAGUAAAAUGUUUCUUUAUUUUGUUACACUGAUAUAUUUGAAGUGUUGUCUCA